AUUGAACGCUGGCUGCAUGCCUUACACAUGCAAGUCGAACGGUAACGUGCCUUCAGGUUCCGACGAGUGGCGAACGGGUGAGUAAUACAUCGUAACGUGCCCUAUCGUGGCGGAUAACUAGUCGAAAGCUUUGCUAAUACCGCAUACGAUCUACGUAGGAAAGCGGGUGACCGCAAUCACUUGCUUGGACGUAUCGGCGGAGGGCAGAUUAGGUAGUUGGUGGGGUAAAAGAUUACCAAACCGACGAUCUUUGGCUUGUCUGGGAGGAUGAUCAGCCACACUGGGACUGAGCCACGGCCCAGACUAAUACGGGAGGCAGGAGUGGGGAAUUUUGGACAAUGGGCGCAAGGCUGAUCCAGCCAUGCCGAGUGGAGGAUGAAGGCAUUCGGGUUGUAAACUGAUUUUGUACGGAAAGAAAAGCCUUCUUUUAAUACAGGAGGGUCAUGACGGUACCGUAAGAAUAAGCACCGGCUAACUACGUG
rnacentral:rRNA from 1 species